rnacentral:tRNA from 1 species
GACAGCUUGGCCGAGUGGUUAAGGCGAUAGACUAGAAAUUUAUUGGGGUAACCCGCGUGAGUUCAAAUCUCACAGCUGUCG